AAAUUCGGGAUCAGUUAUUGGAUUGAAGUGGUGAGCUUCCAUACUCUGGAAGGCUCCAUUUCAUAUCAUGGACAUCUUUUCAUUCUUUGGUUAUUUUAUGGAUAUUGGUUUUGUCUAUAGUUGGGGGCAUAUCCCAAUCGGAUAUUGUUUUUCUUUUGGUUAGAGGCUUUUUAGAACUACUAUGGGUUGGAGUGCACAGUGUAAGUAGUGGUGCUAGCCUUAGUAUUGGUAUUGGUAUUGGGGUUGAUACAGUUUGGUUAAAUUUAUGAUUGUUCCAUCCUUUUAUAUUAUGUUAUGGACAUGAACUUGG
rnacentral:lncRNA from 1 species